UACGUAGGGCGCGAGCGUUGUCCGGAUUUAUUGGGCGUAAAGAGCUCGUAGGCGGCUUGUCGCGUCGACUGUGAAAACCCGAGGCUCAACUUCGGGCUUGCAGUCGAUACGGGCAGGCUAGAGUUCGGUAGGGGAGACUGGAAUUCCCGGUGUAGCGGUGGAAUGCGCAGAUAUCAGGAGGAACACCAAUGGCGAAGGCAGAUCUCUGGGCCGUAACUGACGCUGAGGAGCGAAAGCAUGGGGAGCGAACAGG
rnacentral:rRNA from 1 species